CUCACCUACCUCAGGGUUUUGAAGAACGGGAGGCAUCUUUCAGCCGACCGAGAGAUGAAUCGACUGAGGGUGAUGAUUUUUUCGUUCAGCUGCUGGACCUCCUUCUUGGUGUCUGGGUGCCGCAUGUCGAUGAUUGCCUUUAUUUUCUUAGGGUUGGCCUCGAUUCCACGUUGAGAAACGAGAAACCCGAGGAACUUCCCCAA
rnacentral:lncRNA from 1 species